ensembl:lncRNA
UGCAUUAAUCAAAGCAGGUGACAAGCCCAGAGUCAAUAGGGUGGAGAUGUUUCCUCUGCAUACUGGGAGCCAUGGCAGGGUAAGAAGGAAGGAAGAACUAUGGAAAAAUCAUGUAAUGUACCCCCCGUACCAUCUCUACUUAGACAACUACCUGCCUAAAAACAAGUGUGGUGGGCCCCUGUAGGCCUAUGUUUGUUGGAUUGAGUGGUGUCAGAGCCUUCACAGAGCUUCUAGGAUUGGCCAGGCUGUUUUAGAUAAUGAAAAGGGAACUGGGAAUAAAAAAAACCCGUCAUUUCUUAUCCAGCUGCUAAGUGGCCUUUGGCAAGUCACUUCUCUCUGGGCCUCAAUUUAAUUAUCUGGGACAUGAAAGAGAUGGACAGGAAGAUUUCCAAUGUCCUUUUAAAUUCACACCUCUGAAGGCUCUAAGAAAGCCUGUCUUCAUGAUCCUAAUCCAAGAUCUUUGAGAUGCGGUUGUCUUCAAGCCAGUGGUGCAUGCCCUGCCCUAGCAGAGAAGUCUGGGAGAAGGAGGUGUCCGCAGAGCCCUCCCGCUAGGGGAAGUGGGGAGGAGAGGGCUGAGAGAAGGCCCAAGUAUAUUUCUCUGUACACUUCUAAAAGCCCUUAGAUCAGGCUGCUCAGGGCCUGAUAAUUUUUCCAUUAAGAGGAAAUAAUUUUCUGGUCUGUUUUGGUUGUAUUUAUCUGCAGUUGACAGCAUCAGCCGCCGCAGCCGUGACAUGCCGCCUGUCUCCCAGACCAGCAUGUACUUGUGGGGACAGAAAGGGGCAGAGGUCUCAGCGUCUCCCAGCCUGGAAGAAGGGGAAAGACAGCUACAACAUGACCCUGGUAUCCAUCUCAUGUGACCCAGCUGUGACCUCAGAACAGAUGGGGCCGGGCACCUCCCGUGGCAACCCCGCGUGGCCCCGAGUUCAACUGGGAGGUGACUGCAGCCCACGGACCAGAUCGGACUUCCAGAGGUGACACUGGGAUGAGGAGAGGGGAAGGGUCCUCUGGGAAUUGUGGCAAAGGUCAGCUACCUCUUGUGUUAGGAAUACACCUGCCUUGGGUGAAGUUCUGAGUGGACCUCAGCCUGGGACAGGGUGACACUGGCUCCAUCCCAUUCCUCUGGAUUCUGCCCCCUUUGGAGCUGGGGUAUAAGAUCCUGGCACACAUGACUUCAGGCGAGGCUGGGGGAGGAGGAAAUCACAGGUUGAGUCCAGGUUGUGUGUCCAGAGAACUUUACUGAUCUCGCAGUGUUUUCAUAGCGCGUUCUCAUCACUCUAAGUAAGCAUAGGGUACAGGCAGAUCAGUUUAUCCCAUUGCAUGGUAGAGGAAAGUGAGGUGCUAAGCCAGUCUGUAACUCACCCAAAGUUAUGCAGCUUGUGACUGACAAAGUUGGACUUGAACCUAGGUCCUCCUGGCUCCGGAGCCAAGGAUCUUCUCCCUCUUCAGGGCAUUUGAAACUGGAUGGACUAUUAUCACAGCGUCACUAAAUGCAUUCAUUUUCCAGAAGGGGCAUCUCAAGACCAGAGAGCAAAACUGACUUCCACAGGGCUAUAUGGUCAAAUGGGUGGUAGAUUACAGUCAAGAGCCAGGGUCUCCUGAUCCCUGAGCCAGGAGAAGUGCCAUGCUGGAAAAGUCCCAGGGAAGGAAGACCAGGUAUCCUACAGCUGUGUUUCCCUGGGAAGGGACUGGUUGGUGGGGGCCAGGUGGGAUGUCUUGCCCCUGGGCUUUGCUGGGGCUAUGGUAUCUGAUUGUCUUUUAGAUCCGUCCUGAUGCAGCCUUAGAGUGACUGACAGCUGAGAGGAAUGGCAAUUGGCCCCCAGCUAACAGUGUAUUGGGAAGGGUUGUUUCUGACUCCUCGGACCCAUUUCUUCCUUUUUCUCCUCCUUGUAGAAUCUCAUACCUCUUUCUGCUCUGCCUCUCCAAGCUGGUCACCCAGUGCCCUUGACCUGUCCCCAGAUGCUUAGGACCCCCUAACACCCUGGCCCGUGUCUUAUCUCCUGAGGAGAUCCAGACACUGUGGGUGUCCCCACCCUCAACGCUCGCUGCUCACCCACAGAUUUUCUCUGUCGUGAUUCAUUUCCUUAGGGCUCACACUGUAAGAAGAUCCCGCUAAUCUGACAGGCUUAGGGAAGGUGCACUGCCCAGGUUUCAAUCCGGGUUCCACUGCGUAUGAGCCCUGUAUCUCAAGCAAGUUAAUUAACCUCUCUUAGCUUCAGUUUCCUUAUCUGAGAAGUGAGGAUAAUAAUACUUACCUCAUAGGGUUAUUGGUAGCUUUAAAUGAAUUUAUGUAAAGAAUUUAGCACAAUGCCUGAAGCAUAAUAAACUUUCAAUAAAUGUUAGUUAUUUUUAGUUUUUAAACCUAUUCAUGCUCCUGUCUUAGUGGAAGCUAAUGACUCACUCCAAAGUGAAAAUAGAUGUGUUUUUACAGAGCUCUAAUUGAGGAAAAGCCUUAACAGAAAGGUAUGGAGACUUUAGUCCUUGAGUCACACACUUAGGGGGGAUGCCCUCGAGUGGUGGGGGUGUCUCUCUGACCCCCUCAGAGCACAUGCAGGCUCCAGGUACGGGUUGUGAAUUGGACGUUUGGAUCUGUCAAAAUCUUAUGUGAACUGGAGCUGGGCAUGGUGGCUCAUGCUUAUAAUACCAGCACUUUGAGAGGCUGAGGUGGGUGGAUUGCUUGAGGUCAGGAGUUCGAAAGCAGCUUGGCCAACAUGGUGAAACCCUAUCUCUACUAAAAACAAAAGAUUCACCAGGCGUAGUGGCCUGUGCCUGUAAUUCUAGUUACUCAGGAGGCUGAGGCAGGAGAAUCGCUUGAACCUGGGAGGCAGAGGUUGCAGUGAGCAGAGAUUGUGCCACUGCACUUCCGCCUAGGUGACAGAGCAAGACUCCAUCUCAAAAUAAAAAAAAAAAAAUCUCAUGUGACUGGAACUCUCAUCCCCCAGCUGAAGCACAGAGCAGGGGGUCUUUGAACCACACCCAUGGGAUAAAGCGGACACAGGUGGGGAGUGGAGUGGAGGAGAGCAGCAGGCCUGUGACCCUGGUCACAUCUCACAUGGUGGAGUGGGACGCAGGCAGGUCUGGAAUCAGAUGACCAGGAUUCAAGUAUUCCCCCCACCACCCCAUUUAUUAACCAUGUUCUCUUACAGAAAUUAUUUAAUGUUUCUGACUUUCUGUUUCCUCGUGGGGAAAAGAUUAAAAUAAAUAAUGUAGAUAAAAAGCACUUUGUAAAUGAUAUACCAAGGUACUAUUUUUUUCUUUGGGUAACUUGUGUCAAAAGAACUUUAGAUUUGGUAAAUCUGAACUCUAAUACUCAUGAACUCUGUAGCCCUGUUGUUCUUACCACAGCUGUUUGUUGUAAGGAGCAAAGACCCCUAAAAGGAUGUCCCGG